UACGUAGGCAGCGAGCGUUGUUCGGAGUUACUGGGCGUAAAGGGUGCGUAGGCGGGUCUUUAAGUCAGGGGUGAAAUCCUGGAGCUCAACUCCAGAACUGCCUUUGAUACUGAGGAUCUUGAGUUCGGGAGAGGUGAGUGGAACUGCGAGUGUAGAGGUGAAAUUCGUAGAUAUUCGCAAGAACACCAGUGGCGAAGGCGGCUCUCUGGCCCGAUACUGACGCUGAGGCACGAAAGCGUGGGGAGCAAACAGG
rnacentral:rRNA from 1 species